ACCCGAGUGAGCCCAGAGGGGCGCCCUCCCCGCCUCCUACGCGCGCACUCCCCAAACUCCCCGGGCGCGCCGUCCUGCCUCCCGGGCUCCGGCCAAAAGAGCCUGGAUUCCGCCUCCUCCUCGGAGCCAACUUCCUGCCGCCGGGUGGCCCGAACCCGAAACAGCCGUCUCCAAGGACAGAUGUAUGCCGGCCCGCCCCUGGGACCCCGGGAUGGGAGGAGAGCGCGGGGUCCCCUUGACUCAGCAAGGAGCCAAUGAAGCACCUACUGUGUGCCGUCGCAGCAGUUAGGCAUCAAGGCCUAUGGUGUGUUCAUUUCAAAAGAUAAUCAAGUGCCUACCAUGCGCCACGCACUGUCCCAAACACAGAACUGAUUUUUGCCUUGAUAGGAUCCCAGAAUCCCGCGUCGCCUCCUGCCCGGGAGACGCAACCCUCAGCCUAACCUGCCUUUGUCCACGGCAGCCCCGCCCUCGCUGCCAGGUCCCAGUCGUAUCCUGCCUUCCAACUUGGGGCCCAUCCUCUACCUGGUUCUUGAGUUCCCACCCCUUUUCCUCACUCAGCCUGCACUAGUUGUGAACACGCAUAAACAAUCUGCUUAUAUGUUCAUUUACCAAAUACGCUAGACACCUGGUUUGUGCCAGACACUCUCCUGAAGGGUAGAGACGAAGCAGGCAACACGCCGCGUCCCCCGGGGGGUUGAUUUCUACCUGACGCGGACAGAAGAUUCAGAAUAUUGCAAGAAGAAACGUAAGUGUCCCGGGGAGGAGGCUGUUUCACUCUGAUUCCUUUGUGCCUUUUGGCUGUUGUAACCUGCACAAUACUGUGACGUGUUUAAAUAUUGCAACAAUAGCUGAAA